rnacentral:rRNA from 1 species
AACGAACGCUGGCGGCAUGCCUAACACAUGCAAGUCGAACGAGACCUUCGGGUCUAGUGGCGCACGGGUGCGUAACGCGUGGGAAUCUGCCCUUGGGUUCGGAAUAACAGUUAGAAAUGACUGCUAAUACCGGAUGAUGACGUAAGUCCAAAGAUUUAUCGCCCAAGGAUGAGCCCGCGUAGGAUUAGCUUGUUGGUGAGGUAAAAGCUCACCAAGGCGGCGAUCCUUAGCUGGUCUGAGAGGAUGAUCAGCCACACUGGGACUGAGACACGGCCCAGACUCCUACGGGAGGCAGCAGUGGGGAAUAUUGGACAAUGGGCGAAAGCCUGAUCCAGCAAUGCCGCGUGAGUGAUGAAGGCCUUAGGGUUGUAAAGCUCUUUUACCCGGGAUGAUAAUGACAGUACCGGGAGAAUAAGCCCCGGCUAACUACGUGCCAGCAGCCGCCGUAACAC